AAAUCACUUGGUUCGGCCGCAUCAAUGCAAUAAAAAUGAACAUCCUCCCACAUCUCCUAUAUCUGUUCCAGACUGUCCUCACAAAUAUCCCAAGAGCAUUCUUCCAAUCUAUAGCUUCGGCCAUACAGUUCAUAUGGAACAAGAAUACGGUCCGCAUAUGGAGGAUGCUACUUGACCGCCCCAAAACACAAGGAGGCACUGACCUCCCUUCUGUAAUUAAUUACUAUAGAGCUACAAACCUGCAAUGACUAAUGUGGCUAAUGUGCAUGCGCAGCAAAACAUUAUGCUGGCCAAUCAGCAUCUACUUG